UUGAGAGGUUAAGUGUGGAUGGAGAAGAAGGAGCUUAGGAGGAAUGGAUAGGUUUGGGUAAGGUGUCCGUACAAGGCAAGGCCGUACAAGGCCGUACCACUUGGCCGUACACACUUACCUCAGCUGCGGUUAAGUCAAGAGUUACUUGGGUGACUUACCAUGAUAAGAAGAAGCACUGAUCACUCACCUGAAGGAUCAGACCGUUACCAAAGGAAGAAGGAGCGUGUGACAGCCUGUCUUGAGCUGGAAAGAAGAAGGCAUAAAGCAAAGAUGCCUCACACACGCGGCCACUCUCAUUGGAUAGUUCAAAUGCAUUCUUAUCUUAUCCAUUGACUCCACAUGCUUUCUCUCUUGUGUAUUCGAAACCCUAGAACCUCUCUCUCACUAUAUAAUGUAUCCUUAUCUCAUUAAUGAAAGUUAGACAGUUCUAAACAAUCUCUCUCUAUACUCAUUUCAUUA
rnacentral:lncRNA from 1 species